UCCAACUAUUCUUUCUCUCUUCACCUUCUCUUUCUUUAAAGGAGAAAUAGUAAGUCUUUUUUGUGAGGCUUGUUAUUCUCCUUCGAUGGCCCGAAAUGGUAAGAGGCGUCUGAGUUUGAGAAUGGAACAGAUCUGUGACUCGCGGCCGACUCACUGAGUUUGUCGUGUAGAGAUUCUUUCCCAAUUUUUGCAUCUUUUUUCUCUUUCUUAGCUACUUGUAAAGGAGAAUAUUUUCCUAAGCCCUUUGCCGAAAUAUUUAUAAUCUCUCAUUUUAUGCUUUAACAAGUUAUAAAAACAUGGAAUAUUUUGUUUAUGUUCUUCACCUUACUUUUGUAGUUUUGUGUUUGCCACACGAUGUUAGAACAUGAUUUUUUAGUUUACUAGAUAACUCUUCAAAAAUCUUCUCUAAGAUUGUUGCAAUUUUGUUCUAGUAUGCUCAUAUUCCAUUUUUCUAAUUCUAGGGUUUUUGAAAUCCGAUUUUUCCCCGAAAUCCUUCCUUUCUUUAUUUCGUGCUUUGUUCUGAUUUGUUUUGUGAGAUUAAAAAAUUUGUCUUGUCCUAUCAACCUUAUUUUGGGUUGCUACCUACAUGUUAGAAUUACUUUCUUUAUUUAGUACAAGGGUAAUUACGAUGUGUUGAUAUUAGUGCAAUUUAGUUCUUAGUUUUAUUGAGUGCUAAAGUUCUUGAAAUUUUUGUUUCAAGGGUAUGAAUAAGGCGUCUAUAGUUGUUUCUGAUUUUCACUUGUUGAAUUCUUACUGCAAGUUUGCUCUAUGUUUUUGUCUUACAUACAUUGGAUAUCUAUGUUUUCGCCUGUUUCUUAAAAUUGAUUUAGAUUAUUUUGGGUGCAGGUCUGUUGAUAGUUGAUAAGUUAAUGAGAGUUCACCCUUGUGUAGUUAAAUGUAGUUGAUUGCUCUUCGUAUUGAAUUUGAGGUUGGUGAACAGAGUCUUCAAUCAUGAUUUCUAGACAAUAAGUUAUAGAGUGAACAUCUUUUUUGGUCCUUCUACUAUGGAUUGGUAUCGAUAAGUUCUAGAGUGAACAUUUUUUUGAUAAAUUCUUACUUUUUUCUUCUCACAUUAAUGAUAGGGCAAGGACAUUACAGGUUUACUGGUACCUUGUUAGAGAGAUGUUCUUGAUAUGAGUUCAUUUUAUAUGUCUUGACACAAAGCAAGUUCUCGUAGUUAUAAGUGUACUACUUUUGUCUUGUGCCCCUCAUGUAAAAAAAGUUUCUUUAACAAUUAGCUAGCAUAGGUGAUAAGUGUGUGAGGCUUGGGGAGUAGCAACGCAGACAUCCUUUUGCAGGCUGAAGAAAUAAGCUACUUCCACGGUUAUUUGAAUUAUAAGGGGAGUCGUGGCCCCCGAUUGAGCGGUGAGUCGAGUGCCUGCGUUCCUCCACUUCCAUCGCCGGAGGCCGUCCCACUAAUGGUCGCAGUGGUUUAUUUUUCCAUCUUUGGGCCGGAAAACUCCCCUACUUACAUUCCAUAAGUUCACAAAAUUUACAGAUAUUUUGUCAGGGCAGGAGCGAGUUUCUUAAAACAAUGAGCGAAAAGCACAUAUAGUCAAUAUGUACAGUUACUUAUAAACGUUGUUUUCUUUUUCAAGUGUUGGGAUAUUUUGUGAAUCAA